CACUAUUUUGUAUAAGUACAGCCGUAGUCUUUCGUCAUAUCCUCUUUCCAUUGCCCUCCUCGCUGUGAGACUCUUCUCCACACGAUGAGAGCUAAGUGGAGGAAGAAGCGCAUGCGCAGGCUGAAGCGUAAAAGGAGAAAGAUGAGGCAGAGGUCCAAGUAAGCCCUCAUUGUGCCUGCUGCAACCUGUUGGACUUUCUUGAAUGACUGAAUUGGAUGCACGGCCACCUCCAACUUGGCUUCUUACCACCACGCGCCUCGUCCACCAACCCUUGACGGUCUACAAGAUGACACCAACCUGGCACUUGAUAUCAGAGAUGCAGCCAUUUUGGUUCAUGGACCAUGAAACGUCUUUGAUUUGGCAACUGUUGUUUGUGUACUGAACAAUAAAUGAACACUGUUCCAAACUUUG